ensembl:lncRNA
GGCCGCCCCACAUCCAUCAGACGUUGGCUUUGGCUGCCCCACAUCCGUUGGGAUAUUGGCUUUGGCCGCCCCACAUCUAUCAGACGUUGGUUUGGCUGCCCCACAUCUACCGGACGUUGGCUUUGGCCGCCCCAUAUCUAUCAGAGGUUGACUUUGGCCGCCCCACAUCCAUCGGACGUUGGUUUGGCUGCCCCACAUCUACCGGACGUUGACUUUGGCUGCCCCACAUCCGUUGGGAUAUUGGCUUUGGCUGCCCCACAUCCAUCGGACGUUGGCUUUGGCUGCCCCACAUCUGUUGGAAUAUUGACUUUGGCUGCCCCACAUCCAUCGGACGUUCGCUUUGGCCGCCCCACAUCCAUCAGAGGUUGACUUUGGCCGCCCCACAUCCAUCAGACGUUGGUUUGGCUGCCCCACAUCUACCGGACGUUGGCUUUGGCUGCCCCACAUCCAUCAGCCGUUGGUUUGGCUGCCCCACAUCUACCGGACGUUGGCUUUUGCUGCCCCACAUCCAUCAGCCGUUGGUUUGGCUGCCCCACAUCUACCGGACGUUGGCUUUGGCUGCCCCACAUCCAUCAGCCGUUGGUUUGGCUGCCCCACAUCUACCGGACGUUGGCUUUGGCCGCCCCACAUCCAUCAGACGUUGGCUUUGGCUGCCCCACAUCCGUUGGGAUAUUGGCUUUGGCCGCCCCACAUCUAUCAGACGUUGGCUUUGGCCGCCCCACAUCUAUCAGCCGUUGGUUUGGCUGCCCACAUCUACCGGACGUUGGCUUUGGCCGCCCCACAUCUAUCAGAGGUUGACUUUGGCCGCCCCACAUCCAUCAGACAUUGGUUUGGCCGCCCCACAUCUAUCAGAGGUUGACUUUGGCCGCCCCACAUCCAUCAGACGUUGGUUUGGCUGCCCCACAUCUACCGGACGUUGGCUUUGGCUGCCCCACAUCUAUCAGACGUUGGCUUUGGCCGCCCCACAUCCAUCAGACGUUGACUUUGGCUGCCCCACAUCCAUCGGACGUUGGUUUGGCUGCCCCACAUCCAUUGGGAUAUUGGCUUUGGCCACCCCACAUCCCAUCGGACGACGGUUUGGCUGCCCCACAUCCCAUAGGAUGCUGAAUAUGGCCACCCCACAACCCCAAUAUGGCCACCCCAUAUCCCUAAUUAAUUUACCCACCCCAUAUCCUUAAUUUGGCCACCCCACAUCCCAUAGGACGACGGUUUGGCUGCCCCACAUCCCAUAGGAUGCUGAAUAUGGCCACCCCACAUCCCAUAGGAUGACAGUUUGGCUGCCCCACAUCCCAUAGGAUGCUGAAUAUGGCCACCCCACAACCCUAAUAUGGCCACCCCACAUCCCAUAGGAUGACGGUUUGGCUGCCCCACAUCCCAUAGGGUGCUGAAUUUCCCCCCCCCAACCCUAAUAUGGCCACCCCACAACCUUAAUAUGGCCACCCCAUAUCCCUAAUUAAUUUGGCCACCCCAUAUCCUUAAUUUGGCCACCCCACAACCCUAAUAUGGCCACCCCACAUCCCAUAGGAUGACGGUUUGGCUGCCCCACAUCCCAUAGGGUGCUGAAUUUCCCCCCCCAACCCUAAUAUGGCC